UAGCGGACAGUGGAAAGGGCAGGAGCCGGACCAAGUGUUCAUCCAUCGCCCUGUAUUAGCGAAGAACAACAUCAAGCUGGCUAGCAAGGAACUGUAUACAGGGUCCAGCUGGGUAUCACACUGGAUCUCACCCAAAGCUUAGAUGUGAUCCAGCUCAGUAUCACAAAGCAGAACGAAAAGGAUGUGUUUGGGCUGAGAGGCCAUACAUUGGCUCCGGCAUGACGGGUGACUUCUUCCGAGUCUGGCUUCUGCAGCACACAGGGCUUCGCCAGCACCCAGCUCCUGCAGCAUGGGCAGCUCCUGUGACAGCAGGCGCCCGCAGCCUGCAAAGCGUCUCCAGUGCCGCCGCCUCAGUGAACCUCAACCAGCGGCACCUAGCAGCUUUCUCUGCCACCCUCUUCAGGUCUGGAUCUAAGCCCAGGGACCAGGAAACCUCUUGCUUGAGUGCUGGAACUCAGGCCAGAAGGACAUCCCUGUAGAAGUUCUGCUGCGUGUGGUCCAGCCGUCCCCACUCCUCCCGGGAGAGGUAC
ensembl:lncRNA ZNF213-AS1 ZNF213 antisense RNA 1 (head to head)